GGGUACUGUAUGUACAAAUGUUUGUACGUUCUCCCUGUGACCGCAUGGGUUUUCUCAGAAAUCUUCAGUUU